rnacentral:rRNA from 1 species
AACCUCGGGAAACUGACUUUAAAAAGCGAUAGGUCAAGAUUUCUGGAAUGGAUCCUGGCUUAAAUCUACAUGGCCCCUGGAUUGGACUGCCGCCGAUCAGGCUGUUGGUGAGGUAAUGGCCCACCAAACCUAUAACCGGUACGGGCUCUGAGAGGAGAAGCCCGGAGAUGGGCACUGAGACAAGGGCCCAGGCCCUAUGGGGCGCAGCAGGCGCGAAAACUCUGCAAUGGGCGAAAGCCUGACAGGGUUACUCUGAGUGAUUUCCGCUAAGGAGAUCUUUUGGCAGCUCUAAAAAUGGUGCAGAAUAAGGGGUGGGCAAGUCUGGUGUCAGCCGCCGCGGUAAUACCAGCACCCCGAGUGGUCGGGACGAUUAUUGGGCCUAAAGCAUCCGUAGCCGGUUGUGCAAGUCCUCCGUUAAAUCCAGCCGCUCAACGGAUGGGCUGCGGAGGAUACUACAGAACUAGGAGGCGGGAGAGGCAAGCGGUACUUAGUGGGUAGGGGUAAAAUUCUUUGAUCCAUUGAAGA